UCGUCAACAACACUGUGAUUAUAGGAACAAAAUUACUAACGGAAGUUUAGUCGGCGUACUCAUAAUUCACUCUGUAGAGUUCACCGAUGGAUUUGCCAAGAGAAUUUUUGUCAAUAUAAGAAUUUACGAUUGCCGAUGAAAAUUUUCAUCGGUAAUUUCGUCAAUAAUUCUAAAUAAAAUGCUUAGGGUUCUCUUUUCAAGCAUUUCUCUUUCUCCCUUUCUUUUCCCCCAAAUUCCCCUCCCUAUCGACCACCCCUAGCCCUCUUUCUUUGGCGUCAACAAACAGCUCCCUCCCCUAAUCAAACACUCUCUGUCAUAGACCUAAGUCCUAUCAAAGUCUCUCGAGCCGACAACCCCGCCCACGCUUUCCUCCCGUGACAAAGAGCCUCCCUUGUUCACUCUUGCCGACCGACAUGUAGUGGGGGCGACCACCCCCACUCCUCUCUCCCCCUUGAAUAUCGUGUUGGCCGAUUACCCUUGCCCCCAAUUCGAAGUUGAAUUCGGUGCUAACAACCCCACCACUCUCUACCAACUACCCCUUCCCCCGUGAGGACAAGUAAGAGUUGCUUGUUAAUUGAUUGUGAAGUGUGAGGGAUUGCAUUGUUGAAUUGAGUUGAGGAUUUUUUAUUUGUGCUUGCAAAGACCAACGACAUUCUCCGAGGUUUUUGAGCACACUCACAAACGACAAAAAGGUACCAAAGAGUUUGUCUAUAACAAGUCGAAGACUGUUAGUGAAUCAUAUACAUCUGUUAUAUUGCAGAAGUACAAUGAUGAUCCAUCAUCCCAACUGGAGUUUGAUCCAAUAGCAUGGUCUGAGGCAACUAGAGGACCGCAAACUACUCGAACCCACAUCUACAGGUUUAGCACCAAGAUGCGACUUUCUUCUCUAUUUGCUCCAACUGCAACAUCUAAGUUUGCUUGUGGUCCAAUGCUUUCUACUGCUGUUGCACAAGUUUCAUCAUCUGAACUUGAAGGCUAUCAAGAAAUAAAGACCUAUGUGAAGGAGUUGAAGACUAACAUGUCUGAUAUUAAGUCCAUCAUGAAGGUUAUCCUUGAGAAGCUUUCAGAUCUAGCUGGCGGGUCUUCAUCAUCAUAGUAGUCUCAUCUUCAGUCACAACAACAAUCUCCUUUUUCUCAUGAUUUAAUCGACGGACAAUCAUAAUUCCUUUUCGUUAUGCUAUAGAUUUUUUAUAUUAACGUUUUUCAUAGACUUUGAACAUU